UAAAGGUCACAUAUCCUCCUCCUCUUCUUCAGUUUAAAUAAGUCUCAGAGCUCCUCAAAACAUGUGUGUGAAGUUUAUUGUUCUAAAUCUACUCUGAUCCUGUAUUUGAUCAUGUCUAUAAACCUCUCUAUUUCAGCCCUGCUCAGAACAGGCUGUUUCUGUGUCUGUACCUUUAAAUAUGUAGAUGAGCUGUGUCUGACCACGCCCCCCUCUCUGGAAGGGCUCGGGUUUCUCUGCUUUCUCGCUCCAUGUUCUAUUGUUUACGGUGAGAAGGCAGACUCAGAGGGCAGAACAAACACCUAGCUGUGGGAGUGUCACCCACCUGGGGGAGGGGCUACUGCCCUUUGUGAUGUCAUGAAGGGAGAACCUCCAAACGGCCUGUUUGAGCACACAUUUUCUGAAAAGUGGAGCAGGCAGAAGACGGAGAGGAUGGACUUUUCUCAUCAUUGGGGGACGGACUAGAGACACAUAUUAGAGUUAGAGAAACAUGGAGAGUAUUUGGCACAAUAUGUCACCGUUUUAUAUCUCAGGAAAGAAAGGUGAAGACUCAGUCAAGAUUUGAGAUGUUAUGUUUGUAUUAAAUUGUUUUGUUUGGUUGAUGAAUGAACUUACACAAAUGAAUAAAUGAACAAAGCAGGCAGGCAUAAAAUGACCCUGAAUAAAAUGAC